GAUGAAGAACGUAGUGAAAUGCGAUAAGUAGUGUGAAUUGCAGAAUUCAGUGAAUCAUCGAAUCUUUGAACGCACAUUGCGCCCCUUGGUAUUCCAUGGGGCAUGCCUGUUCGAGCGUCAUUUGUACCUUCAAGCUCUGCUUGGUGUUGGGUGUUUGUCCUUGCUCUAGUGGCGGGACUCGCCUUAAAGUAAUUGGCAGCCAGUGUUUUGGUUUUGAAGCGAAGCACAAGUCGCGAUUCAAGUCUAUACGCUAGUUUCCACAAGUCUUUUAUCACUUUUGACCUCGGAUCAGGUAGGGAUACCCGCUGAACUUAAGCAUAUCAAUAAGCGGAGGA
rnacentral:misc_RNA from 1 species